rnacentral:tRNA from 1 species
AAGGCUUUAAGUUAAUUAAACUAAUAGCCUUCAAAGCUAUAAAUAUAAGUAAAACCCUUUUAAGCCUUA